rnacentral:rRNA from 1 species
AAUUGAAGGGGAUUACUAAAUGAUUUAGGUUUUUAUGGGGGUAAAAAAAUAAAUUUUUAUUUUAGUAAGAAAGAUGAGAAAAUUAGGGGAGUUAUAGUUAAUUAGUAUUGUGAAAGAAUUUUUUUUUUAGGGGGAAAAGAAGAAUUUUGCAUUUGUACCUUGUGUAUCAGGGUUUAUUAAUUAAGAAAAAGAUUAGGUUUUCUCGAAUUCAAAAGAGCUAGGGUCGUAUAUAUUUUAUUGUUGAAUAAAUAUUUGGAAUAUGAUUUUAGUAAUGAAACGUUAUUCGUUUUUGAUAUAUCUAGUUAUUUAAGAAAAAAAUUAAAUUUUUUUAUUUAAAAUAUUUAGUUAAUUUUUUAAUUAAAUAUUAUGAAUAAGCAAUUUUUAGGGGGAUGAGCUUUUAAAAAAAUAUAUAUAAAUUUUAAAUAUUAUAAAAAAUUAUAGGAUUAGAAGUGUCUACUUUUGUAAUAAUGUUAUAAUUAAUUUUUAGGGGAAUAAUAUUUAUAUAAUUUUUAUAUUUUUUAUUAAAUUUAGAUUUUUAAUUUUUAGUGGUAAGUAAUUAUGAUAAAAUUAGUAAUUGAUUAAUUGUUGAGUAGAGUUUAUUUAGGGGAGAUAAAUUUAAGGAACUCGGCAAAAGAUUUUCUACCUGUUUAUUAAAAACAUGGCCUUUUGUAGAAAAUUUAAGGUCUGGCCUGCCCACUGAGUAGUUUAAAGGCCGCGGUAACUUGACCGUGCUAAGGUAGCAUAAUCAUUAGUUUUUUAAUUGUAAGCUGGAAUGAAUGGUCGGAUAAGAAAAUAACUGUCUCUGAUUUAUCUUUAGUGAAUUUUAUUUUUAAGUAAAAAAGCUUAAAUUAUUUUGAAAGACGAGAAGACCCUAUAGAGUUUUAUAAUUUUUUGGUUUUAACUUUUUUGAAUUUUGACUUUGAUGCUAGAAAAUUAUUUGAUUGGGGUGAUUGAAAAAUUUAAUAAACUUUUUUUAUAUUGUUACAUUGAUUUAUGAGUUUUUGAUCCAUUAGUUAUGAUUAUAAGAUUAAAUUACCUUAGGGAUAACAGCGUAAUUUUUUUUGAGAGUUCAAAUCGAAAAAAGAGAUUGCGACCUCGAUGUUGGAUUAAAAUUAAGUUUUGGUGUAGAGGCUAAAUAGUUUAGGUCUGUUCGACCUUUAAAAUUUUACAUGAUCUGAGUUUAAACCGGUGUGAGCCAGGUUGGUUUCUAUCUUUAAAUACUUAAAAUAUUUCAGUACGAAAGGACCAAGUAUUUAUAUUACAUUAUUUUCCGUAUGAAUGCCAGUAG